GAUGAACGCUGGCGGCGUGCCUAAUACAUGCAAGUCGAGCGAACAGAUGAGGAGCUUGCUCCUCUGACGUUAGCGGCGGACGGGUGAGUAACACGUGGAUAACCUACCUAUAAGACUGGGAUAACUUCGGGAAACCGGAGAUAAUACCGGAUAAUAUAUUGAACCGCAUGGUUCAAUAGUGAAAGACGGUUUUGCUGUCACUUAUAGAUGGAUCCGCGUCGCAUUAGCUAGUUGGUAAGGUAACGGCUUACCAAGGCAACGAUGCGUAGCCGACCUGAGAGGGUGAUCAGCCACACUGGAACUGAGACACGGUCCAGACUCCUACGGGAGGCAGCAGUAGGGAAUCUUCCACAAUGGGCGAAAGCCUGACGGAGCAACGCCGCGUGAGUGAUGAAGGUCUUCGGAUCGUAAAACUCUGUUAUUAGGGAAGAACAAAUGUGUAAGUAACUAUGCACGUCUUGACGGUACCUAAUCAGAAAGCAACGGCUAACUACGUG
rnacentral:rRNA from 1 species